GAUGAACGCUGGCGGCGUGCCUAAUACAUGCAAGUCGAGCGAACAGACGAGGAGCUUGCUCCUCUGACGUUAGCGGCGGACGGGUGAGUAACACGUGGAUAACCUACCUAUAAGACUGGGAUAACUUCGGGAAACCGGAGCUAAUACCGGAUAACAUGUUGAACCGCAUGGUUCAACAGUGAAAGACGGUCUUGCUGUCACUUAUAGAUGGAUCCGCGCCGCAUUAGCUAGUUGGUAAGGUAACGGCUUACCAAGGCAACGAUGCGUAGCCGACCUGAGAGGGUGAUCGGCCACACUGGAACUGAGACACGGUCCAGACUCCUACGGGAGGCAGCAGUAGGGAAUCUUCCGCAAAGGGCGAAAGCCUGACGGAGCAACGCCGCGUGAGUGAAGAAGGUCUUCGGAUCGUAAAACUCUGUUAUUAGGGAAGAACAAAUGUGUAAGUAACUAUGCACGUCUUGACGGUACCUAAUCAGAAAGCCACGGCUAGCUACGUG
rnacentral:rRNA from 1 species